AUUGAACGCUGGCGGCAGGCCUAACACAUGCAAGUCGAGCGAGCGGCGGACGGGUGAGUAAUGUAUGGGGACUGACCGAUAGAAGGGGAUAACUACUGGAAAAGGUAGCUAAUACCGCAUUCCAUCGGAUAACCCAUAUGGGAUUAGCUAGUAGGUGAGGUAAUGGCUUACCAAGGCGACGAACCCUAGCUGGUCUGAGAGGAUGAUCAGCCACACUGGGACUGAGACACGGCCCAGACUCCUACGGAGGCAGCAGUGGGGAAUUUUGGACAAUGGGGGAAACCCUGACCCAGCCAUCCCGCGUGUAUGAUGAAGGCCUUCGGGUUGUAAAGUACUUUUGGUAGAGAAGCGGUAUCUGCAGAAUAAGCACCGGCUAACUACGUGCCAGCAGCCGCGGUAAUAC
rnacentral:rRNA from 1 species